rnacentral:tRNA from 1 species
UAUAGCUCAGUGGUAGAGCACGUGCUUAGCAUGCACAAGGUCCUGGGCGCAAUCCCCAGUA